UGGGGAAUAUUGGACAAUGGGCGCAAGCCUGAUCCAGCAAUGCCGCGUGAGUGACGAAGGCCUUCGGGUUGUAAAGCUCUUUCGCACGCGACGAUGAUGACGGUAGCGUGAGAAGAAGCCCCGGCUAACUUCGUGCCAGCAGCCGCGGUAAUACGAAGGGGGCUAGCGUUGUUCGGAAUUACUGGGCGUAAAGGGCGCGUAGGCGGUGCACCAAGUCAGGCGUGAAAGCCCCGGGCUCAACCUGGGAACGGCGCUUGAGACUGGUGCGCUCGAGUUCGGGAGAGGACGGUGGAAUUCCCAGUGUAGAGGUGAAAUUCGUAGAUAUUGGGAAGAACACCGAUGGCGAAGGCAGCCCGUCUGGACCGACACUGACGCUGAGGCGCGAAAGCGUGGGGAGCAAACAGGAUUAGAUACCCUGGUACGUCCACGCCGUAAACGAUGAGUGCUAGACGUCGGGGCCCCUAGGGCUUCGGUGUCGCAGCCAACGCA
rnacentral:rRNA from 1 species